rnacentral:misc_RNA from 1 species
CUGCCCUCAAGCACGGCUUGUGUGUUGGGCCCCCGUCCCGGUUAAACAUUAGCCCCGGGACGGGCCCGAAAGGCAGCGGCGGCACCGUGUCCGGUCCUCGAGCGUAUGGGGCUCUGUCACCCGCUCGUGUAGGUCCGGCCGGCGGCCAGCCCGACUUUUCAACCAAUCUUUUUUGGAUUUUUAACCA